rnacentral:tRNA from 1 species
GCCUCUGUAGCUCAGUUGGUUAGAGCGCUGCACCGGAAUCGCAGGGUUGUAGGUUCAAUUCCUACCAGAGGAC